rnacentral:rRNA from 1 species
ACGCUCGACACCUACGGGAGGCAGCAGUUGGGAAUAUUGGACAAUGGAGGAAACUCUGAUCCAGUGACGCCGCGUGAAGGAAGAAGGUCUUCGGAUUGUAAACUUAUUUUGUCAGGGAAGAAAAAUGACUGUACCUGAAGAAAAAGCACCGGCUAACUACGUGCAAGCAGCCGCGGUAAUCUGAGCGGGCUGGCAAGGC